CUGGGGACUCGGGGGAAAGAGGAAGCUGGGGAAUUGAGUAAGCAUAUUCAACUGCUGUGAGCUUUGCCCAAAGAGGAGGGACUGCAGAGACAGCUUCAUUUAAAAAUAGACUGCUUACAGAGACAAGGAGCUGGCGGAGUGACGGGGCACUGGCAGCUGGCAUGGACGCCACCGAGAGGGGCUGAAGCUGGGGCAGAUGCACCAUAAAUGCAGAGAUGGGAAUUAUGUGACUGGAAUACCUCAUUGCAUUCUGCCGUGUUUCACUUCACGAUGAGCACGCCGGUAGGAAGGGAUGCUGGAAUACACUGUUCUAGAUACUGCACAGGAGGCUAGAGAGGGAUGCAGACAGCACAGACCACGGCUGCGUGUAAAAUCCCCAUCACACUGCUUAUGGAAACUACGUCACUGGAGGCCAUGAGCUUCCGCAUCUAUCUUCCCUAAAUGACGCAUCUUCCCUCUGGAGACCAUAAACCACUAGGAUUUCUCAGUCACCCAUGUGCAAGCAUGACAGAGGCUCUGAAAUCGACAUCGCAACUGCAGAGACCCUCCUGGAGGACAGUAACAACGAGAUCACCAAAGACAGGUUCUACAAGAAACUGCCACUGAAUCCAAGAGCAACCCCAUAGGGGCGUGGACCGAUCCAUCCCAGCGCCAUUACAUAAGAGGAAGAAAUCUGAUGCUCAAGAGAAACUAAACUGCUUAGUGAUCUCAUUCUUACCAGAAAAAUUAUCUGCUGGAAAAAUCCUUCAAGGUCAACCUUGGCAAAAAUUAAAAAAUAAUGAAAAGCAUUCAUCCCUAAGGCAGAGUGAGACUGUUCAAUUUGAAGCAAUGCACUGUAUAUUUUAUUAGCUAUAACUCCUUUAAUUAUUCAUGACAUCUCUUCUGAUAUUCCAUACAGAAACCUCACAUUGCUCAGAUUUCUAUCUGCAGCCUUUUGUAAAAUUUCCUUUCUUACUCAAGGGCCUUAGGAGCCUAAAGCUCUCUACCUGGCACUACCCACUGAAUGCUAACAUACAUUAAAGUCAGACUCCGAAGGAAAAACAGUCGGAGAGGGAGUGAGAAGAGAAAGACCCACAGACACACCAAACCGCUGAUAAGCCACCCUCCAGUGCCAUCUGCACUCUGCUGCUGCCUGGGACACUAUGCAGCCCCAAAUGCUGCAGAAAGCAUGCUAGGACACUGUCCCAGGCCCAUGCAUCACUUCCUGUCAUCUGAGAGGCUCUAAUGCUAACUGCUCGGCUUGCUUCCUGCUGCAUCUUGCCCCAAAGAUGCACUUUUCCCACCUCCCACGGGUUUAAUUAUCUGCUGAUUUCUGAUGGAUGGGUAUGCCAAAAAGUUGUGCCCCAUGGAAGGGGACCCAGGAUAGAGAAUCUCAGGCAGUUCCUCACUGGAAUAUUGAUAUCCACACAGGCUUGCCGCUAAUCCCUAGCCUGAAGACAGUAGAAACAUAAAUACCGCCAGUGAACCCUGGGAAAUAUUAGUUCCUCUCAUUCAUAUGAAUUCCAAGCUUUCCUUCCCUCUAUCCACCGUUCUGAAUCUGAAGGUCCCAAGCAUAAUCCAAUUAGCACCAAAAUUAAUGGGGCCACAUUUCUGAGUGGCCAGGGGACCAAGACAUGGCUUUUGUCUCAGAGGGGAUAGUUCCGGUUAAUUCCAUGCCUCAGCUUUCAUGUAAUAAGGCCAGCGACAGUGGCAGUGAUAGGUAUGAAAGACUCUGUGGUAGUUUUGAAAGAAAAUGGCUCCCCUAGGAAGUGGCACUACUAGGAGGUGUGGCUUGUUGGAGUAGGUGUGGCCUUGUUGGAAGAAGUGUGUCACUGUGGGGGUGGGCUUUGAGGUCUCCUAUGCUCAAGCUAUGUCCAGUGGGUGGUACAGAGAUACUUCCGGUUCCCUGUGGAUCAAUAUGUAGAACUCUCAGCAGCUUCUCCGGUACCACGUCUGUCUGCACACCACCGUGUCCCACCAUGAUGAUAGUGGACCAAACCUCUAAACUGCAAGCCAGUCCCGAUUAAAUGUUUUCCUA